rnacentral:rRNA from 1 species
UACGGGGGGGGCAAGCGUUGUUCGGAAUUACUGGGCGUAAAGGGCUCGUAGGUGGCCAACUAAGUCAGACGUGAAAUCCCUCAGCUUAACUGGGGAACUGCGUCUGAUACUGGAUGGCUUGAGUUCGGGAGAGGGAAGCGGAAUUCCGGGUGUAGCGGUGAAAUGCGUAGAUAUCCGGAGGAACACCGGUGGCGAAGGCGGCUUCCUGGACCGACACUGACGCUGAGGCGCGAAAGCUAGGGGAGCAAACGGG